rnacentral:lncRNA from 1 species
AAUUUCCCUGCCUCAGAGUCACUACUCGAGUCCCUCGCCUGCUCUGUGUAAAGCCCCAGCCAAAAAAGCACACCUGCAUUAACUCUGCUGCACAUAAUUUAUUGAGCUAGUUGCAUCACAAUACUUUUUCUUUUGUUUCCCAUUACCAGCAAAACAGAAGUUAUCCUAGCAUAGCCAUCCUACAUGUUGGUUUUUAAUCGCCAUUAUGCUGAGCAGACAAGGCAGAUGCUACUCUAUGGCCUGUACCAUAGGCACCUAUGAAGAUUUUUCUCCAGUCAGAAGAGCUGUUUGAAAGAGCGGAAAGGUCUCCGAAGCACUUGCCCGCUACUAGGAGGCAGUGAUUUAACUCCCUGUUCAACUUCAGCUACUGCUCACCAGCCAGCUGGGAGACUUUUGUGCGGUGCCCACAGACCGGCUUUGGGAAGCUACAUCGCUGGAGUCGCCUGGGAAGGUGUCUGGAAGUUGCUUACAUUUUAAAUGUUUGACAGCAUCAGCUUCUGGUCUCUGCUACAGGCUUGCAUGGUGCUAGGUCUCUACGGGCAACUUAUGACAACAGAGCUUGCCACACCCGAAACCUUCAUGACAAGAAAAGGUUUUGUGUUAUGGAAAGAUCCCUGUGAACGCCAUCAAAACUUCUUGAUUUCAGAAGUUUCUUGAAGAUAUACGUCUCUCAAAAGCAAGGGUAAGCAUUCUUGCACAGGCUGCUCAGUCAAUCAUAUUAUCUUCUUUUAGGGAACACGUGUUAAAUUUUGCAGUAGAUUUUGGAAUACGUAUUUC